GGAAUAUUGGACAAUGGGGGAAACCCUGAUCCAGCGACGCCGCGUGGGUGAAGAAGGCCUGCGGGUUGUAAAGCCCUUUCGGUAGGGACGAAAGCCCCCGACCUAACACGUCGGGAGGAUGACGUAACCUACAAAAGAAGCACCGGCUAACCCUGGCCCAGCAGCCGCGGUAAUACAGAGGGUGCGAGCGUUAAUCGGAAUUACUGGGCGUAAAGCGCACGUGGGCGGCUUGGCAUGUCGGGUGUGAAAUCCCCGGGCUCAACCUGGGAACUGCAUCCGAAACUGCCUUGCUAGAGUAUGGGAGAGGGAAGUGGAAUUUCCGGUGUAGCGGUGAAAUGCGUAGAUAUCGGAAGGAACAUCAGUGGCGAAGGCGACUUCCUGGACCAAUACUGACGCUCAGGUGCGAAAGCGUGGGGAGCAAA
rnacentral:rRNA from 1 species